rnacentral:rRNA from 1 species
AAGAAAGUAAGCAAGGGCGCAUGGCGGAUGCCUUGGCUCUCGGAGGCGAUGAAGGACGUGAUAAGCUGCGAUAAGCUUCGGGAAGGUGCAAAUAACCUUUGAUCCGAAGAUUUCCGAAUGGGACAACCCGUCAUUCUGAAGGAAUGACAUCUUGCAUAGCAAGAGGCUAACGCAGGGAACUGAAACAUCUUAGUACCUGUAGGAAAAGAAAAUAAUAAUGAUUCCCCUAGUAGUGGCGAGCGAACGGGGAUUAGCCCAAACCAAUGUUGUUACGGCAAUAUUGGGGUUGUAGGACCACGAUGUCGCAAGAAAUUUAGUGAGAAGAACCCUUUGGAAAAUGGGACCAUAGACGGUGAUAGUCCGGUAUUCGAAGCUAAAUGAAGCGUAGUGGUAUCCUGAGUAGCGCGGGACACGAGGAAUCUUGCGUGAAUCUGCCGGGACCAUCCGGUAAGGCUAAAUACUCCCGAGAGACCGAUAGCGAACCAGUACUGUGAAGGAAAGGUGAAAAGCACUUCGAAUAGAAGAGUGAAAUAGUCCCUGAAACCGUGCGCCUACAAGCGGUCGGAGCUGCUUCAGCAGUGACGGCGUGCCUUUUGCAUAAUGAACCUACGAGUUACUUUUUCCGGCAAGGUUAAGGAUCUUGAGAUCCGCAGCCGAAGCGAAAGCGAGUCUUAACAGGGCGAUUAGUCGGAAGGAGUAGACGCGAAACCAAGUGAUCUACCCUUGGUCAGGUUGAAGGUUAGGUAACACUAACUGGAGGACCGAACCGAUAAGCGUUGAAAAGCUUCCGGAUGAACUGAGGGUGGGGGUGAAAGGCUAAUCAAACUUGGAGAUAGCUCGUACUCCCCGAAAUGCAUUUAGGUGCAGCCUUGGGAAUUACUACUGUGAGGUAGAGCGACUGAUAAGAUGCGAGGGCUUCACCGCCUAUCAAGUCUUGAUAAACUCCGAAUGCGCAGUAGUUCGAUCCCAGGAGUGAGGGCAUGGGUGCUAAGGUCCAUGUCCUAAAGGAGAAGAAUCCAGACCAUCAGCUAAGGUCCCGAAAUAAUUGCUAAGUUGAACUAACGAAGUCAGAUUGCUAAGACAGCUAGGAUGUUGGCUUGGAAGCAGCCAUUCAUUUAAAGAGUGCGUAACAGCUCACUAGUCGAGGAGUUUGGCGUGGAUAAUAAUCGGGCAUUAAGCAAUUUACCGAAGCUAUGGGAU